UACGUAGGUGGCGAGCGUUGUCCGGAUUUACUGGGCGUAAAGCGCGCGCAGGCGGUCCGGUAAGUCUCCGGUGAAAUCGCCCGGCUCAACUGGGCGGGUGCCGGGGAGACUGGCGGACUUGAGGAGCCUAGAGGCCGGUGGAACUCCCGGUGUAGUGGUGAAAUGCGUAGAGAUCGGGAAGAACACCAGUGGCGAAGGCGGCCGGCUGGGGGUGUCCUGACGCUGAGGCGCGAGAGCG
rnacentral:rRNA from 1 species